GUGAGAAACCGAGUCCCAGCGAGGUCCUGGAGCUUGCCCGGAGUCACACUGCUGCUUAGAGAAAUAAUGAUUUAUCAACGUCUUCCUUGACGUGAGAAUGGCUUGGAUAACCAUGAGCAGUCUGCCCUGUCAAGCCAAGGAAAGAUGUCGUUGGCUUGGACUUCCGCCGCCACCAUCCCGUCGGGUCCAGGAGGGGCGAGGGGCAUUCUGGGGCUGAAGCUUGCUGCUAUCAGUUUGGGUGAAAUGUCUUUCUGUGUAGCAUAG